CCCGCAGCGCUUAAUUAUCCCGCGCGGUGCCUCAAUUAUUAGCGCAGCGUCUUAAAUCAGUAAGCGAUUUCAUCCCUGUGAGAUACCUCAGGUAAAUAUCGAUCGGGGAAGUUUAUGAAUACACAGUGUAGCUAGCUGUUUACCGUGUACUGAUAAGGGUUUAAAGACGACACGUGUUGAUGAAAGUCUGUGUUUUCACAAGUUUGCGUUAACUGGAGCAGGAGUGAUUGGAUUAUAAUUAGUUAAAGAUUAUAAUUAGUCUAUGCAACGAAAUGGGAUAACAGCUGGUGACUGCAUGCAUGGGCUCUUUCAUCACUCUUCUCCCUUGAAGAAGACCGGGCGGUUAUUUAAUGGGCACAGGCGAAUCUUAGCCACCCUUACCACAGAUGAACACUUUGAGCACCAUGGAGUGGAUUGUUGGUAAUCUGUCCGAGUCUCACCCAAACCUGAGCAAAGUCGCUACAGUGGGACUGCUUCUACCAACCUCCACAGCUGAUUGUGAGAGAGGUUUCAGCAGUUGAAUGUGUAAAGACCACCCACCAUUCACCGGUGAG
rnacentral:lncRNA from 1 species